GCCAUGACGACAAAACGUGUCAUCCAAAGAGGCUGGCGACAGGCGAAGUACACCCACUCUCAGCCGAGUUGGGUUGGAUAUCGGCGAAACCGCAGACAGAGGAGCAUGACGUCUCUGUGGACCCCUGAGAGCCAGGCGGCUUCCACAAAACAUAUGCUGAUGCUCAGGGGCAAGCAUUACCUGCUGUUGUACCUUGGAAACCAUGGAAAUGUGGAAACAAGGAGUUUAGGGAGGAGCACAGGAGGAACACGGAGGGAACACAGACGCGUCAACAAAGUAUAUCUCGGACCAUUACUCAUCUGUGCAGUGUGUCACCUACCUGUUCUCAGCUGGUCAUUCGCCAUACUGGUUACCUGCUCCACCUGCCGUCCCCUCUGUACUCCGAACCUCCUGGAACUCUGGAUCCUAGCCAUACGGACGCUCACUUGGAACCCAUUGGCAGUUUUUCCGCCACGUUACCUUUGACCUACUUACAAAACCCAGCACCACGUAUCCAGACACCCUGCCUGAACUGUACCACAGUACCUUUUACUGAACUCACGUAUUGCCACGUUUCAGUUAUCUGUUUUGUGAUUGCUAAUAAAUGUAUUCUUUGGCAAAGUCACUCAGCCUCUGCCUGUGUCUGCAUUUUGAGUCCUGCCUGUCUUACUGGCUUCCUGCCCUG
rnacentral:lncRNA from 1 species